rnacentral:rRNA from 1 species
GAUGAACGCUGGCGGCGUGCCUAAUACAUGCAAGUCGAGCGAACGGACGAGAAGCUUGCUUCUCUGAUGUUAGCGGCGGACGGGUGAGUAACACGUGGAUAACCUACCUAUAAGACUGGGAUAACUUCGGGAAACCGGAGCUAAUACCGGAUAAUAUUUUGAACCGCAUGGUUCAAAAGUGAAAAACGGUCUUGCUGUCACUUAUAGAUGGAUCCGCGCUGCAUUAGCUAGUUGGUAAGGUAACGGCUUACCAAGGCAACGAUGCAUAGCCGACCUGAGAGGGUGAUCGGCCACACUGGAACUGAGACACGGUCCAGACUCCUACGGGAGGCAGCAGUAGGGAAUCUUCCGCAAAGGGCGAAAGCCUGACGGAGCAACGCCGCGUGAGUGAUGAAGGUCUUCGGAUCGUAAAACUCUGUUAUUAGGGAAGAACAUAUGUGUAAGUAACUGUGCACAUCUUGACGGUACCUAAUCAGAAAGCCACGGCUAACUACGUG